UGCAUGGCUGUCGUCAGCUCGUGUUGUGAAAUGUUAGAUUAAUUUCUUAAACGAGCGCAACCCCUACUUUUAGUUGCCAGUGUUUGUUGUUCCAAACAGGAACUCUAAAAGAACUGCUAGUGGAUAAGCUAGAGGAAGGUGGGGAUAACGUCAAGUCCUCAUGGCCCUUAUGAACUGGGCUACAAACGUGCUACAAUGAAAACUACAAAAAGAAGCAAUAGUGUUUAAGCUGGAGCAAAUCUCUAAAAGUUUUCUUAGUUCGGAUUGUGGGCUGAAACUCGCCCACAUGAAGUUGGAAUCACUAGUAAUCGUAGAUCAGCACGCUACGGUGAAUAUGUACCUUGGCCUUGUACACACCGCCCGUCACACCAUGGGAG
rnacentral:rRNA from 1 species